rnacentral:rRNA from 1 species
AACGAACGCUGGCGGCAUGCCUAACACAUGCAAGUCGAACGAGACCUUCGGGUCUAGUGGCGCACGGGUGCGUAACGCGUGGGAACCUGCCCUUAGGUUCGGAAUAACUCCCCGAAAGGGGUGCUAAUACCGGAUAAUGUCUUCGGACCAAAGAUUUAUCGCCUUUGGAUGGGCCCGCGUUGGAUUAGCUAGUUGGUAGGGUAAAAGCCUACCAAGGCGACGAUCCUUAGCUGGUCUGAGAGGAUGUUCAGCCACACUGGGACUGAGACACGGCCCAGACUCCUACGGGAGGCAGCAGUGGGGAAUAUUGGACAAUGGGCGAAAGCCUGAUCCAGCAAUGCCGCGUGAGUGAUGAAGGCCUUAGGGUUGUAAAGCUCUUUUACCCGGGAUGAUAAUGACAGUACCGGGAGAAUAAGCUCCGGCUAACUCCGUG